ACCGAUAGCGAACACAGUACCGUGAGGGAAAGGUGAAAAGCACCCCGAUUAGGGGAGUGAAACAGUACCUGAAACCGAAUGCUUACAAUCAGUUGGAGCCCCUUUGGGGGGUGACAGCGUACCUCUUGCAUAAUGGGUCAGUGACUUAAUCUAGCAAGCAAGCUUAAGCCGUUAGGUGUAGGCGCAGCGAAAGCGAGUCUGA
rnacentral:rRNA from 14 species